rnacentral:lncRNA from 1 species
GCAUUUGAAAAAAGGGAAAAAGAUUCUCGGAAUAAAGAAGAGAAGGGGGGGACUCUUUUAAAUGCACGAGCUUUGUAUUAGUAACAGUUUUGGGGUAUGAAAAGUGAAAAAACAAAAAUUUUGAAAACCUGAUUAUGUUGGAAACCUCCCGUUUUAAGCACAGAAAGUUCAAGAAAAAGUAUCAGAAAAAAAUAGAAAAAUAUCAGAAUUUAUACUCUCUAAGAGCAAAAGAAUAGACAGUACAGUGAACAAGAAAAUGGGCUACGUCAAUGCUGCAAAAAUACAGAAGGUGUACUGAGGAGUAAAAAAGAGGAAAUACACAGAAAAGUCUCAGAAGAAACAGAGACAGAAUCAAUCACUUGCUAUAUGGAGUAAAAGUUCUGAAGAAACUAGGAUUCUGUAGCUAUUUUCAGGUCGAUUUUCUAGUGAAAAUCUCGGGGAAAGUUGAAAGAGAGACUAUGAUUUUGAACUGAGUGUUUAGCUUUUUAGAGAUAAUAGAGGAAGUGUGAAGUAGGAAG